rnacentral:lncRNA from 1 species
AAAUAAAAGUUCUACAUCGACUUACCUCUACUAUUACCCCUCGUAAUAAAAAAAAUCUAUUAGCUUGAAGUAGUCUUACAUUAAAAAUAUAGACCAAUAAUGAAAUUCUUAAAAUAUAUCUAAAAAAUAAAGUUCUCAGCCCACACUACUGUAUAAAUUUAUGUCUAAAAUUAGAAGAAAAGCACUAAGGAUUCCACUCGACC